GAGAGUAGCUUGCUACUCUGCUGACGAGCGGCGGACGGGUGAGUAAUGCUUGGGAAUAUGCCUUAUGGUGGGGGACAACAGUUGGAAACGACUGCUAAUACCGCAUGAUGUCUACGGACCAAAGUGGGGGACCUUCGGGCCUCACGCCAUAAGAUUAGCCCAAGUGGGAUUAGCUAGUUGGUGAGGUAAUGGCUCACCAAGGCGACGAUCCCUAGCUGGUUUGAGAGGAUGAUCAGCCACACUGGGACUGAGACACGGCCCAGACUCCUACGGGAGGCAGCAGUGGGGAAUAUUGCACAAUGGGCGCAAGCCUGAUGCAGCCAUGCCGCGUGUGUGAAGAAGGCCUUCGGGUUGUAAAGCACUUUCAGUAAGGAGGAAAGGUUAAGUGUUAAUAGCACUUAGCUGUGACGUUACUUACAGAAGAAGCACCGGCUAACUCCGUGCCAGCAGCCGCGGUAAUACGGAGGGUGCGAGCGUUAAUCGGAAUUACUGGGCGUAAAGCGUACGCAGGCGGUUUGUUAAGCGAGAUGUGAAAGCCCCGGGCUCAACCUGGGAACUGCAUUUCGAACUGGCAAACUAGAGUGUGAUAGAGGGUGGUAGAAUUUCAGGUGUAGCGGUGAAAUGCGUAGAGAUCUGAAGGAAUACCGAUGGCGAAUGCAGCCACCUGGGUCAACACUGACGCUCAUGUACGAAAGCGUGGGGGAGCAAACAGGAUUAGAUACCCUGGUAGU
rnacentral:rRNA from 1 species